rnacentral:ncRNA from 1 species
GGGCUUGACUCUAUUUUGACAUUGUGAAGAGUCAUGAGAGGUGUAGCAUAGGUGGGAGACUUCGGUCGCCAGUGAAAUACCACCACUUUCAUCGACUCUUUACUUAUUCGGUUAAAAGAGAAUUGGCCUCACGGCCUUUUUUCGAAGCUUUAAGCGGAGCCAUUUUAUGGCACCGUGACUCUCCUCGAAGACAGUGUCAAGCGGGGAGUUUGACUGGGGCGGUACAUCUAUCAAAUCGUAACGUAGGUGUCCUAAGGCGAGCUCAGAGAGGACGGAAACCUCUCGUACAGCAAAAGGGCAAAAGCUUGCUUGAUCUUGACUUUCAGUACGAGUACAGACCGCGAAAGCGUGGCCUAUCGAUCCUUUUAAUCCUGAUUGUUUCAAGUAAGAGGUGUCAGAAAAGUUACC